GGUGGGGUUGUGGCUCAGUGGUAGAGCAUCUGCUUUGUAUGCAGGAGGUCUCAGGUUCAAUCCUUGGCCUCUCCA